AACGAACGCUGGCGGCAUGCCUAACACAUGCAAGUCGAACGAGACCUUCGGGCCUUGUGGCGCACGGGUGCGUAACGAGUGGGAACCUGCCCUUAGGUUAGGAAUAACUCCCCGAAAGGGGUGCUAAUACCGGUUAAUGUCUUCGGACCAAAGAUUUAUCGCCUUUGGAUGGGCCCGCGUUGGAUUAGCUAGUUGGUAGGGUACAAGCCUACCAAGGCGACGAUCCAUAGCUGGUCUGAGAGGAUGAUCAGCCACACUGGGACUGAGACACGGCCCAGACUCCUACGGGAGGCAGCAGUGGGGAAUAUUGGACGAUGGACGAAGGCCUGAUCCAGCAAUGCCGCGUAAGUGAUGAAGGCCUUAGGGUUGUAAAGCUCUUUUACCCGGGAUGAUAAUGACGGUACCGGGUGAAUAAGCACCGGCUAACUCCGUG
rnacentral:rRNA from 1 species